AGAGUUUGAUCCUGGCUCAGAAUCAACGCUGGCGGCGUGCCUCAGACAUGCAAGUCGAACGAUUAAAGCUCCCUUCGGGGAGUGCAUAAAGUGGCGCACGGGUGAGUAACACGUAAGUAAUCUACCCUCGAGUGGGGAAUAACGUCCGGAAACGGGCGCUAAUACCGCAUAAUGCAGCGGCACCGCAAGGUGACAGUUGUUAAAGAUUUAUCGCUUGAGGAGGAGCUUGCGGCAGAUUAGCUAGUUGGUAAGGUAAUGGCUUACCAAGGCUACGAUCUGUAACCGGUCUAAGAGGACGGUCGGUCACACUGACACUGAAUAACGGGUCAGACUCCUACGGGAGGCAGCAGUCGGGAAUUUUGGGCAAUGGGCGAAAGCCUGACCCAGCAACGCCGCGUGAAGGAUGAAGUAUUUUCGGUAUGUAAACUUCGAAAGAAUGGGAAGAAUAAAUGACGGUACCAUUUAUAGGUCCGGCUAACUACGUGCCAGCAGCGCGGUAAUAC
rnacentral:rRNA from 1 species